rnacentral:lncRNA from 1 species
GACUUGCUGACAUACCAAACACUUGAAAACAAAGUUGGCCACAUCUCUUUUCAUUCUGUUCCACAAAAAUCAGGGUCGCAUACUUUGAUACAUCUUAGUGCUUCCGGAAUGUGUGGUAAACUUUAAGCUACAGGCCUCUGUCAUGAUGUCACUUUUUAACUUACUGUCACAUGGAACACAAACCUUGCCCUGAAAUCUAAGCAACCCAUCGACAAAGACUCAAAAUUUUGAAUUAACUCCCUAUUCUACAUCUUUCUUGAGGGCUGCUAGGGUGGAGUCAGCGGAUUAGGCUCCCUUUAUUCUCUAGAUUAACUCAGGUUGAACAGCCAGGUUGGCCAAACAUGUGACUCUCUUCAAGUCCUGAAGUUGUACCUGUUGUGUGGCCUCUAUUGCCUUGCAUUUUUAAACUAUUGGGUGAGCUAAUAUACCUGCACUUUUUUUGGUGAGUGCGUAAGCUACCACAUUGCUCUUACCCGGGUGAUACAAGAUGUUGCAAUCAUAGUCCUUGAGGAGUUCUAUCAAUCUUCUCUUACGUAUGUUGAAAUCUUUUUGAGUGAAU